UUUUCAUUUAUGUGCUCCUUAAAUCCGUGCAUUAACAUGAUUUAACCCACUCGUCCUACUCUCUAGCAUUGAAUAGACCUCUUCAUCUUCCAAGGUAACUGGCAACCUCUUCUAUAAAUUUGCAAGAUCCCAGCGAUGAACAGCACCAUCUUUACAAAUCGAGAAGAAUCAUGGCUGAAUUGUUAGGCAUUGUAUAAAAUGUUUUAGUCGAGGAUGAUAGGGAUUUAGGGCAGAUUGUGCUUGAUCGUCGGGCCGUCGCUGUGCUCUAUGAUCGAGAACGCGGCUUUGAUAAUGGAAAGCUUAUGAACCCUAACCUCCUCUAAUUUUCAACUAAUUGCAACUGGGACACUGGUUUUUGGACCAAAUAAGAAAUCCUAAUUGAGAUUUGAAUUUACAAAUAGGGAUGUAAUUUUGAAUACGGUCUUUGGUCUUUGGCAUCAGUCGGCUGGAACUGUUGACCUUAAAGAAGGCUCGGGCCGUUGUUUCCGCAAAAGGGAAAUGGUGGUGAUCCUGAUGGGAAUCCAAGUUCGCCAGGAACAUCACAACCAUGAUGUCUCGAUUACCGAUCAAACAGAUGACUAUCAAGAUGAGGAUGACUAAUAAAAAUGAAGUGUUUGGGAUGUAUUGUAUCCAACGACGUCUGGGAGAAUGGGUUACGAGAUACAAAGUGCGUUGAUUCUUCUGUGUACACUAGACGUUUCUUGAAUCGCAUGUUGAAAUGGAGUUACAGUGAGGAAUAUGCUAUUACUCGUCGAUAUACGUCAUAUGGGAUAUGUAGCCUUGACAACCAAGAGUUGCAGGGGAUAACGUUUUAGGAAGUUAAACAGAGAAAGUCAACAAAAGGUGCGGGCUUGGCAGAUGAGUUUGUAGCUUGAAGCAGACCUUUGUUCUCCCUGGAAUAUUUGCAGUUAAGGAGUUGUUUAACAUAAGUAGGAGUGCCGAAGGUCUUUGGGAGUUACGAUUGAGGAUUAUUCUAAUCAUAAAAAAAGCGAAACGUAGGUCUUGAGGCGUUCUUAGAUUGCGAGUGAGAGUUCAACAUAUCUUCCAAGUGUUGUGGAUUUGUAGAUAUUUUAUUCAGAUUCGGUUAUUUAGUGUACGUCGGUUCCAUUUGUAUGUCAUCUUCUUACAUUGAAUAAGAAGUCACAGAGAUUUGAAGGUGAGAUUGAGAGUUGUUAUUUAAAGUUUAGAGCUUAUAUCUUGUCAAACGGUUCUGCUACUAAUAUAGCAGUAAAUUUUUUGGACAUCUCGAGGAAUGUGCAGCAGAUUGUAAAGCCCAAUCAGUAAGACAAUGCUAUGAACGUCACUUUAGGGGAUUUGUCCACUAUUAGUAGACAAAAUGUUAGUCUACGGUUUGGAAAACCCACCGAAAAAUUGCUCAUAUAAUGCCAGAUGUGGAGGUGCACAGAAAAUAGAGUAUGUACGUGUAUCUUCUGCAAUGGCUCUGACUCCAUGGGUCCGAGACCACCUCAAGCAAGACCGACCGGCGGGCGAACGAAGUGAUACGGAAACAUCACCUGGAUUACCUAAUGUAUUGAGCGGAAACAUUGCUGGAGAAGCUCUCUAUCCUGCGCCAGAGGGUUCCAUCAAGAAGGCACACAAGACUUUAUAACACAACUCUUGAAUUAGAUUAUCUUAC